AGCGUAGGCGGAACUACAAGACAGGGGUCAAAUCUCCGGGCUCAACCUGGAACUUGCCUUUGUGACUGUGGUUCUUGAGUAUGGUAGAGGUUGGCGGAAUUUCCGGUGUAGCGGUGGAAUGCGUAGAGAUCGGAAAGAACACCAGAGGCGAAGGCGGCCGACUGGACCAAUACUGACGCUGAGGCUCGAAAGCGUGGGGAGCAAACAGGAUUAGAUACCCUGGUAGUCCACGCUGUAAACGAUGAACACUAGAUGUCGGGAGGGGUUCCUUCCGGUGUCGUCGCUAACGCAGUAAGUGUUCCGCCUGGGGAGUACGCUCGCAAGGGUGAA
rnacentral:rRNA from 1 species